GCGGCGUGCUAUACAUGCAGUCGAGCGAACGGACGAGAAGCUUGCUUCUCUGAUGUUAGCGGCGGACGGGUGAGUAACACGUGGAUAACCUACCUAUAAGACUGGGAUAACUUCGGGAAACCGGAGCUAAUACCGGAUAAUAUUUUGAACCGCAUGGUUCAAAAGUGAAAGACGGUCUUGCUGUCACUUAUAGAUGGAUCCGCGCUGCAUUAGCUAGUUGGUAAGGUAACGGCUUACCAAGGCAACGAUGCAUAGCCGACCUGAGAGGGUGAUCGGCCACACUGGAACUGAGACACGGUCCAGACUCCUACGGGAGGCAGCAGUAGGGAAUCUUCCGCAAUGGGCGAAAGCCUGACGGAGCAACGCCGCGUGAGUGAUGAAGGUCUUCGGAUCGUAAAACUCUGUUAUUAGGGAAGAACAUAUGUGUAAGUAACUGUGCACAUCUUGACGGUACCUAAUCAGAAAGCCACGGCUAACUACGUGCCAGCAGCCGCGGUAAUACGUAGGUGGCAAGCGUUAUCCGGAAUUAUUGGGCGUAAAGCGCGCGUAGGCGGUUUUUUAAGUCUGAUGUGAAAGCCCACGGCUCAACCGUGGAGGGUCAUUGGAAACUGGAAAACUUGAGUGCAGAAGAGGAAAGUGGAAUUCCAUGUGUAGCGGUGAAAUGCGCAGAGAUAUGGAGGAACACCAGUGGCGAAGGCGACUUUCUGGUCUGUAACUGACGCUGAUGUGCGAAAGCGUGGGGAUCAAACAGGAUUAGAUACCCUGGUAGUCCACGCCGUAAACGAUGAGUGCUAAGUGUUAGGGGGUUUCCGCCCCUUAGUGCUGCAGCUAACGCAUUAAGCACUCCGCCUGGGGAGUACGACCGCAAGGUUGAAACUCAAAGGAAUUGACGGGGGACCCGCACAAGCGGUGGAGCAUGUGGUUUAAUUCGAAGCAACGCGAAGAACCUUACCAAAUCUUGGACAUCCUUUGACAACUCUA
rnacentral:rRNA from 1 species